AUUGAACGCUGGCGGCAGGCUUAACACAUGCAAGUCGAGCGGAGAUGAGGUGCUUGCACCUUAUCUUAGCGGCGGACGGGUGAGUAAUGCUUAGGAAUCUGCCUAUUAGUGGGGGACAACAUUCCGAAAGGAAUGCUAAUACCGCAUACGUCCUACGGGAGAAAGCAGGGGAUCUUCGGACCUUGCGCUAAUAGAUGAGCCUAAGUCGGAUUAGCUAGUUGGGGGGGUAAAGGCAUACCAAGGCGACGAUCUGUAGCGGGUCUGAGAGGAUGAUGCGCCAAUCUGGGAAUGAGAGACGGGCCAACCGCCUACGGGAGGCAGCAGUGGGGAAUAUUGGACAAUGGGGGGAACCCUGAUCCAGCCAUGCCGCGUGUGUGAAGAAGGCCUUUUGGUUGUAAAGCACUUUAAGCGAGGAGGAGGCUUACCUGGUUAAUACCUGGGAUAAGUGGACGUUACUCGCAGAAUAAGCACCGGCUAACUCUGUGCCAGCCGCCGCCGUAACAC
rnacentral:rRNA from 1 species